rnacentral:rRNA from 1 species
UACAGAGGUCUCAAGCGUUGUUCGGAUUCAUUGGGCGUAAAGAGCGUGUAGGCGGCCAGGUAGGUCUGCUGUGAAACUCGAGGCUCAACCUCGAGACGUCGGCGGAAACCAUCUGGCUAGAGUCCGGAAGAGGAGAGUGGAAUUCCUGGUGUAGCGGUGAAAUGCGCAGAUAUCAGGAAGAACACCCGUGGCGAAGGCGGCUCUCUGGGACGGUACUGACGCUGAGACGCGAAAGCGUGGGGAGCGAACAGG